rnacentral:rRNA from 1 species
GUCGUAACAAGGUUUCCGUAGGUGAACCUGCGGAAGGAUCAUUGUCGAUGCCUUACACGGUCCAACCAACAUGUGAAUCAGUUUGCACACAUACGGUGGGCUUGGGGUGUUCCACACCCCGGCUUGCUACUGGUUUUGGAGGUGGACGACGAAAUGCGUUCUCCUCUAUGCCAAAACUAAAACCCCGACGCUGAAUGCGUCAAGGAAUUUUAACUGCUCUAAGCGCAUUCGCAUGGAACCGGAGACGGUUUUCGUGCGGGUCGUGUUUUGACACAUUAUAUAGAAUGACUCUCGGCAACGGAUAUCUAGGCUCUUGCAUCGAUGAAGAACGUAGCGAAAUGCGAUACUUGGUGUGAAUUGCAGAAUCCCGUGAACCAUCGAGUCUUUGAACGCAAGUUGCGCCCGAUGCCAUUAGGUUGAGGGCACGUCUGCCUGGGUGUCACAUAUAGAAGCCAAUUGUGGAUGUUGGCCUCCCGUGAGCUCUUUGGUCUCAUGGUUGGUUGAAAAUUGAGACCUUGGUAGGGUGUGCCAUGAUAUAUGGUGGUUGUGUGAUCCACGAGACCAAUCCAUGUGUCGCUCUAUUGAAUUUGGCCUCUUUUACCCAUAUGCGUUUCAAACGCAGGUGAUAAGACCUCAG